AAUGAGGAAGAAGCGGGAGAUAAUAUUCUUCAACGAGUUUAUAUGUAAUUUAAAGUCACGUUAAGGAUAUAUAAAUGAGCUAGGGGUGACUGAAAAUGAAAGUCGUUUUUUCGAACGCGUUGGUUGCGACUUACCGCAUUCCUAUUGGAAUUUAAACAUACUUCCAUAAAUUAGCCGUUUAGCUAACAACGUUAGCUAGCAAGGUAGUUAGCAUAGUGUGCUAGCUAGGCAACUUGGUAAUUCUCCGCUAACUAGCUAACGGUUAGCUCGUUUCGUGGGGAAGAAAAAUGAUAUUUGUGUGGAGUGUUAGCCUUUGAAGUAGCCUCAGCCAACCUGCCCCAGUCGAAUGAAGCGCAUUAGCUUCAUUUGGUUUGACUAUAUUGACAGGUAGAGCAGCAGCUAUAUCGAUUUAUCUUUAAACCAGCGGCGUUAUUUCUAAAACUUUUGAGCCAUGCUGAAUAAAAUCUACGAAUGGAUAGAAACAAGCUUUGCCAAUCUUCGCAAUGGUGUACCAGCUGCGGAGAACUCUGAUGCACACCGGGCACCGGGAGAUGGUCAGAUGAGGAGGAAAAGACCAGUUGAAUGUUUGGAAGAUGGACAUAACGUCGACCAAGAUGGCUUAAUGAUAAAGAAGUCUCGAAUGGGGGAUCUUAUUGAUUCAGUCAAGACUGCAGCUGAAGGGGUGAAGACUCAUAGCUCCAUUGUGGCUACAUGGAUGAGGAACAAUGUGAGUCCUACCUUGAGAAAUAUACUGCCUGCCUCCCCUGGUCCCCCACCCGGAGAACCACAGCCCUCAACAUCAGCAGCCGUCUGGGCAGGAAGACCGAUUGUUGAAAGGAACUCUCUGGAUGAGACGUUCGCUGCUCCCUCCACCACUUUGGAGUGGAAAUCAUCCAAAUCAGAAUGCUUUCGUAAUGAGAAGUCAAUUAUGGGAUCAAAAGUCUGUAGACGACAAGUGUGCAUGAGUCCGACACAUCGCGAAGUGCCAAAAACAAAUGGGCACUCAUUCAACUUGCCAAACUCCAUCACCCCUGAAUUGCACCCCUCUCCACGGUUAGGCAGGCCCCUAAACCUCCGACCAUAUGGAAUGCCAAGUUCAUGUAGUGGAUUGGCAAGCAGCUCCUGCACCAGCAUGUAUGAGAAGACCUUUCCCAUCAAAGUGGUACAGAGCCCAACACACAGCACCUCAUCUGGCCGUGUACACAGGGUCAGGCCCCAAUGCACAGCACAGGAGUCUGUUCUUGAAGAGGAGAAGGAGGUCUACAGGCAGCUUCUGACCAUGGUCUCUGGUGGUCAGUCGUCGUUCCUGCACAACGGCAACUCACACACCAUCGUGAGGUCACACAGAGAUUUUACCAGCUUCCUGACCACCAGCCGCAGACUGUUACAGUUCUCUUCCCCCACUGGGUCAGCAGCAGGAGGAACUUCAGAGGCACCAAGCAGUCCCCCCAGCCCCAGGGGCAUGUCUAGCCAGAGCUCCAGCAACCUCCACAGCCCAUUGGGGACCUUCAACAGGCCAGGGACCCAGACGUGGUCUCUGGACACAGACCUCAGCUCCAGCAGAGCAGCUACUCUCACAUCAGCUCCCUCACCAUCUGCUCUGCAGGAUAACUCCUCUCAGGACACACAGUCAUCAGCUCAUGAUGGUGACUCUGUAAUUAUUGUACAUGAGCAAAAGGGUAUAAAACAAGAUGGCUCAAGUGUGCCAUGUUUCCAAGCUGAGUUAUGGAUCAAAGAACUGACUAGUAUGUAUGACUCUCGAGCGAGAGAGCGACGGAGACAGAUAGAAGAGCAGGAGGCACUGGCUGCCCAGCUGCUGCGACAGCGCCUGUCUGAAGAGGGGCAACGUAGCCCAGAUGUGGAGGUCCAUGUUCGGGUUCCUUUGGAGAAAGAGGUUCCUUUGACUCUUGUGAUAGAAGAACCAAAGCCUUUGGAAGAGAAGCCAGAAUUCCCUGAACUCACAGAGGAAAUGGAGGCUGAGGUGAACAGGGUGCUCAGAGGAGGUAGUUACCAUGAAGUAUUAAGUGAAGGUUUUGGCCUCAGCCUCACACGCAAAGACCUGCUGACCCUCAACAACCUCAACUGGCUCAAUGAUGAGGUGAUCAACUUUUACAUGAACCUGCUGGUUGAGCGCAGCAAGGACCCCAGCCUGCCAUCAGUCAAUACAUUCAACACUUUUUUCUAUCCCAAGCUGCGUAGCAGUGGCUACUCUGCUGUCCGCCGCUGGACCAAAAAGAUGGACAUCUUUUCUAAAGAUAUCCUGUUGGUUCCUGUCCACUUGGGGGUACACUGGUGCCUCUCUGUGGUGGAUUUCCGCAAAAAGGCUAUCCUGUACUUUGAUUCUAUGGGAGGAAACAAUGAUGAAGCAUGCAGAAUAUUGUUUGACUACCUGCAACAGGAAAGUAAGGACAAGAAAUGCAAAGAACUGGAUACCUCAGGCUGGACUCUCCACAGCAAGAAGUGCAAUGUAAGUCCUACACAUGUGAGGGUGAAGAACGUUAGGUGGUCUUUCUGUUGUUCCAUGCCAUGCUGUGUCAUCAAACUGUAUGCGUUUAGGAAUUUUGGAUGGGUUUCAAUUAUUAGCACAAUUACCAGCAGAAGGUUGCAGGUUAUAGCCAUUGGAGCUAGCAGUGCCUCCAGGCUUGGUCAGCUUGUCCUGGUCUGUGCUACAUUGCAGUAUUGAUACCAGUGGACUAAUUUUAUUUAUCAUGAUAUUGCUGUUUUACAUUACAUUUAAGAUAUUUAAUUUGUACCACUUUUGUAGUUAUACAGAAUGUACAGGAUUAUGUUGCAUCAGCUAUUUGUAAAUGAAUCUCUAAAUUUUGUGUAAAGCUCUUAUGAAGUUAUGGUUAAGUAGUUGUUAGUUUUAAAGUAGUGGUAAACGAAAGAUUUCACUGGAUAUUUUUAGAGAAGUUACCAGAGUUAGUCACCGUCUGUUUAAACACACACACACACACACACACACACACACACACACACACACACAUACAGUUGGGGUCUGUUUUGCAUUGCCAUGGACUGAGAGGCUGGCGUGCAAGAAGGAAGCCCUUGCUCCAAAAGUGGCACCUUAAGGCUCGUCGGAGGUUUGCUGCUGAUAACAUGGACAAAGAUAAGACCUUCUGGAGGAAAGUUCUGUGGUCAGACGAAACAAAAAUCGAGCUGUUUGGCCACAAUGCCCAGCAAUAUGUUUGGAGGAGAAAAGGUGAGGCCUUUAGCCCCAAGAACACCAUGCCUACCGUCAAGCACGGUGGUGAUAGUAUAAUGCUUUGGAGCUGUUUCCACUGUUGCUGCCAGUGGAACUGGUGCUUUACAGAGAGUAAAUGGGAUAAUGAAGAAGAAGGAUUACCUUCAAAUUCUUCAAGAUAACCUAAAAUCGUCAUCCUGAAGGUUGGGUCUUGGGUGCAGCUCGGUGUUCCAACAGGACAAUGACCCCAAACACACAUCAAAAGUGGUAAUGGAGUGGCUAAAUCAGGCUAGAAUUAGGGUUUUAGAAUGGCCUUCCCAAAGUCCUGACUUAAACCCUAUAGAGAACAUGUGGACAAUGCUGAAGAAAAGUCCAUGUCAGAAAGCCAACAAAUUUAACUGAAAUGCACCAAUUCUGUCAAGAGGAGUGGUCAAAGAUUCAAACAAGCUUGUGGAUGGCUACCAAAAGCGCCUAAUUGAAGUGAAAAUGGCCAAGAGACAUAACUUUCUGGCUGGAAACACCUAGUCAUUGGGAAGACACGUGUUAGUUUUGAGUAACAUGUUAUCUUCACUUCAUCUGGUUCAUUGCUGUGUAUGUGGAGGAGCUACCUGAGCCCCACUCUGCUCCCCGUCCCGCCGAAAAGAAGCAAUUUUACUUUGCAAUAUCCAUGUCUAUUCUUAUUUCUGUAUAAAGAACAAAAUGUCUCAUGAUGCUGUGAUUUUAUUUUUUAUUUAUCUUUUUCAAAGCAAAAUCAGUAAUUGGUAAUCAUUAUUAUGAAUCAAAUAUCCUGUUAAAAUAUGUACUAUUAAUGAGUCAUUUUGCUCAGAGUAAUGUCCACUAACAUCUUUAAUUCGUCCUUUACUCUCAGGAAAUCCCACAGCAGAUGAAUGGUAGCGACUGUGGAAUGUUCACGUGCAAAUAUGCAGAUUACAUUACCAAAGACAAGCCAAUCACAUUCACACAGAAACACAUGCCCUACUUCAGAAGAAGGAUGGUGUGGGAGAUUGUGAACCAUAA